CCUGCCUGGGGCGCCGCUUCUGCGACUGGGAGGAACGGGACGUGGCGCGCGGCGCCGGGAGACUUCCCCGGAGGGGCAGGUGGCUUCACUAUCUUCCCUGGAAAAGGGAGACAGCCACCCUCAGCAGAGCCAUGGAAAUCCCAGACAGUUACUGAGCCGCUCAACAAAAGGCCUUGAACCUCCGUCUCUCCGCCCUCAUAACACCAGGUAGAGACUCCAAGAACGCAGAAAGCAGAUUCAGAUCUUCAGUCAGGUCUCAAGCUUCAGGAACUCCCAGCACUGGCUUUGCAGCGCACUCCCCCAUUUGGGGGCCACGACCCACAGUGUGCUCAGCUUUAUGGGACCAACUCAAGUUUGAGGCAUUGUUCCUGCCCUUCAGAAGCUUCCAGGUUCAGGGGAGGAGAGAAAACCAGCACCUGCGUAACAAUUAGAGAGCAAUUGUCCCAGAGAACUCUCAUUUGGGGUAAUCUCCAAAGUCAUGGUAUUGCGGAACCCAACAAGAGGAUAUUGCAACCUGGAAACAGCUGGUUCUCACCUCUCUGGAAUGCGGUAA